rnacentral:rRNA from 1 species
ACACAUGCAAGUCGAACGGUAACAGGUCUUCGGAUGCUGACGAGUGGCGAACGGGUGAGUAAUACAUCGGAACGUGCCUAGUAGUGGGGGAUAACUACUCGAAAGAGUGGCUAAUACCGCAUGAGAUCUACGGAUGAAAGCAGGGGAUCGCAAGACCUUGUGCUACUAGAGCGGCUGAUGGCAGAUUAGGUAGUUGGUGGGAUAAAAGCUUACCAAGCCGACGAUCUGUAGCUGGUCUGAGAGGACGAUCAGCCACACUGGGACUGAGACACGGCCCAGACUCCUACGGGAGGCAGCAGUGGGGAAUUUUGGACAAUGGGCGAAAGCCUGAUCCAGCAAUGCCGCGUGCAGGAUGAAGGCCUUCGGGUUGUAAACUGCUUUUGUACGGAACGAAAAGCUUCGGGUUAAUACCCUGGAGCCAUGACGGUACCGUAAGAAUAAGCACCGGCUAACUACGUGCCAGC